AUUGAACGCUGGCGGCAGGCCUAACACAUGCAAGUCGAACGGUAACAGGAAGAAGCUUGCUUCUUUGCUGACGAGUGGCGGACGGGUGAGUAAUGUCUGGGAAACUGCCUGAUGGAGGGGGAUAACUACUGGAAACGGUAGCUAAUACCGCAUAACGUCGCAAGACCAAAGAGGGGGACCUUCGGGCCUCUUGCCAUCGGAUGUGCCCAGAUGGGAUUAGCUAGUAGGUGGGGUAACGGCUCACCUAGGCGACGAUCCCUAGCUGGUCUGAGAGGAUGACCAGCCACACUGGAACUGAGACACGGUCCAGACUCCUACGGGAGGCAGCAGUGGGGAAUAUUGCACAAUGGGCGCAAGCCUGAUGCAGCCAUGCCCGUGUAUGAAGAAGGCCUUCGGGUUGUAAAGUACUUUCAGCGGGGAGGAAGGGAGUAAAGUUAAUACCUUUGCUCAUUGACGUUACCCGCAGAAGAAGCACCGGCUAACUCCGUG
rnacentral:rRNA from 1 species